AGCCAUUAGAAAACUAGGGAUUAAAAGAGGAGGAUCCCACUGCAGGAAAGCAAAGACAGAUGAUGAAAGUUUAGUGCCGAGGCAUACCUUGGUAGAAAGGGCGAAACAACAGUUUGAAGCAGCUGCGAGAGCAGCAGCUCCCAAGGUGGUGUUGAUGUUGUUCUCUCAGCAUAAGAGUACAACCACUGUAUAUAUCGAUCUGUGUUGUAUUCAAUCGGCAGCCAUUGUGUUUUCGGUUAGGUUGUUCAUGCACAUCAUCCGUGGCUGGCUUUUAGAUGGUUUAACGGCAAUGUGAUAUUCACAGUGGUUUCUUUUUGUUCAGCUGAAGACGACCUACGAGAGUUAGAAACGUAAUAUAUUCCAACCAGCAUACAAACAUCUGGUAAAAGGUCUGCUGGUUCUGUCAUCAUAAUAGUACACUGCAAGUAGCAGCAGCUCCGAAGGUGGUGUUGUUCUCUCAUCAUAAGAGUACAGCCGCCACAUAUAUCGUGUUGUAUUCAAUCGGAAGCCAUUGUUCAUUUGGUUACGAUGGUGAUAUGCUCAUCAGUUUUGUAACAAGUGGUUUUCUAUGACAUAAACUAAAGUUGUGCAUAUUUACACUGAUUAAUAAUACGGGAAGAAGAUUGUACAAAAGUAAUACAUGAGAGCACUGGAUCAAUGCAUAUCAAUUUUCAAACAGCUGUAUCGUCAAAGGAAAUAGGGAUACCACGAAAGCUUUUACUCCUCAGGAUCCAUUCCAGUUGAAGGGCUAUCAGCAAAGUUCUCCAGAUGUUACAUAUUCACACCAUACUGACAAUAAAAAAGUAAGAUCAUAAACAACAGUGAGCUUAUAGAAAACCACCACUGCAUAUUGGCUUGCUCCUAUUUGCUGGGUGAA
rnacentral:lncRNA from 1 species